rnacentral:rRNA from 1 species
UACGGAGGGUGCGAGCGUUGUCCGGAAUCAUUGGGCGUAAAGGGCGCGUAGGUGGCCCGGUCAGUUCGUGGUGAAAGCGCGGGGCUCAACCCUGCGUCGGCCAUGAAUACUGCCGCGGCUGGAGCACUGUAGAGGCAGGCGGAAUUCCGGGUGUAGCGGUGAGAUGCGUAGAGAUCCGGAAGAACACCGGUGGCGAAGGCGGCCUGCUGGGCAGUUGCUGACACUGAGGCGCGACAGCGUGGGGAGCAAACAGGG